AUGCUCAAUUUUGCAGCACAUACCCCGAAAAUGGAAGGUUACAGAGGUUAGCAUGGCCUCUCCAUGAGGAUGUCAUACAAUAUUGUAAAACAUUCCAUAUUUUU